GAAGAUCACAAGGAUACAAGACUCUUGUGCCCUUUCGAAAUGAAUGUGUUUUGGGUUGUUGAAUUGUGAAUCAAUCAAGCUGUCUAUCCAACCAAAUUACCCCUAAAUAAGAGAAACACGGAUUAUCUUCAAGGACUGGAAGAGUGCCAAAAACUCGAGCUUCGUCACAGCAUUCACCCAAAACACUGCGUUACCGUGGGCAUCGUGUUCCUCUAGUCCAUGAGGAGAACAGCUGAAGAGAUCGACCUUCCUGUUUUCUAGA
rnacentral:lncRNA from 1 species